GACGAACGCUGGCGGCGUGCCUAAUACAUGCAAGUUGAGCGAUGAAGCUUGGUGCUUGCUCCAAUUUGAAGAGCAGCGAACGGGUGAGUAACGCGUGGGGAAUCUGCCUUUGAGCGGGGGACAACAUUUGGAAACGAAUGCUAAUACCGCAUAACAACUUUAAACAUAAGUUUUAAGUUUGAAAGAUGCAAUUGCAUCACUCAAAGAUGAUCCCGCGUUGUAUUAGCUAGUUGGUGAGGUAAAGGCUCACCAAGGCGAUGAUACAUAGCCGACCUGAGAGGGGGAUCGGCCACAUUGGGACUGGAACACGGCCCAAAGUACUACGGGAGGCAGCAGUAGGGAAUCGUCGGCAACGGACGAAAGUCUGACCGAGCAACGCCGCGUGAGAGAAGAAGGGUCUCGGAUCGUAAAACUCUGUUGGUAGAGAAGAACGUUGGUGAGAGUGGAAAGCUCAUCAAGUGACGGUAACUACACAGAAAGGGACGGCUAACUACGUG
rnacentral:rRNA from 1 species